rnacentral:rRNA from 1 species
GAUGAACGCUGACAGAAUGCUUAACACAUGCAAGUCGACUCGAGUCUUCGGACUUGGGUGGCGUACGGGUGAGUAACGCGUAAAGAACUUGCCUCUUAGACCGGGACAACAUCUGGAAACGACUGCUAAUACCGCAUAAUGUUUCCGAUCCGCAUGGAUUGGAAACCAAAGCUUUAUGUGCUGAAAGAUGGCCUCGCGUCUGAUUAGAUAGUUGGUAGGGUAACGGCCUACCAAGUCAACGAUCAGUAGCCGGUCUGAGAGGAUGAACGGCCACAUUGGGACUGAGAUACGGCCCAG